rnacentral:rRNA from 1 species
GACGAACGCUGGCGGCGCGCUUAACACAUGCAAGUCGAACGGAAAGGCCUGCUUUCCCUUGUGGUUUGCGUGUACUCGAGUGGCGAACGGGUGAGUAACACGGGAGUGAUCUGCCCCCAACUUGGGUAUAAGCCUGGGAAACUGUGUCUAAUUCUCGAUAGGACUGCAGGGUGCUGCCUGUGGUGGAAAACGUUUUUCUAGUGGUUGGGGAUGGGGCGGCGGCCUAUCAGCUUGUUGGUGGGGUAAUGGCCUACCAAGGCGGGGACCGGUAGCCAGAGUGAGAUGGUCGACAGUGACACUGGGACUGGGUCACGACCCCGACGCGAGCGAGAAGCAGGAGAUGGUAAUAUAUGAGCGUGAGCGUGAGCCUGAUGCAGCGCGGGCGUGUGGAAGAUGUCGGGCUUCGAGAUGUAAACUCCUUUCGACGAAGAGGAGGCCACCUGGUUGGAAGGGUGGUGACGGUACUGGAAGAAGAAGCACCGGCUAACUACGUG